rnacentral:rRNA from 1 species
UUGCACGCUGGCGGCAUGCCUUACCCAUGCCAGUCGCACGGUAACAGGUUAAGCUGACGGGUGGCGAACGGGUGAGUAAUACAUCGGAACGUGCCCAGUAGUGGGGGAUAGCCCGGCGAAAGCCGGAUUAAUACCGCAUACGACCUAAGGGUGAAAGGGGGGGAUCGCAAGACCUCUCGCUAUUGGAGCGGCCGAUGUCAGAUUAGCUAGUUGGUGGGGUAAAAGCUCACCAAGGCGACGAUCUGUAGCUGGUCUGAGAGGACGACCAGCCACACUGGGACUGAGACACGGCCCAGACUCCUACGGGAGGCAGCAGUGGGGAAUUUUGGACAAUGGGCGCAAGCCUGAUCCAGCCAUGCCGCGUGCGGGAAGAAGGCCUUCGGGUUGUAAACCGCUUUUGUCAGGGAAGAAAUCCUUUGGGUUAAUACCUCGGGGGGAUGACGGUACCUGAAGAAUAAGCACCGGCUAACUACGUG